UACGGGGGGGGCAAGCGUUUGUUCGGAAUUACUGGGCGUAAAGGGCUCGUAGGUGGCCAACUAAGUCAGACGUGAAAUCCCUCGGCUCAACCGGGGAACUGCGUCUGAUACUGGAUGGCUUGAAUCCGGGAGAGGGAUGCGGAAUUCCAGGUGUAGCGGUGAAAUGCGUAGAUAUCUGGAGGAACACCGGUGGCGAAGGCGGCAUCCUGGACCAACACUGACGCUGAGGAGCGAAGGCGUGGGGAGCGAACGGG
rnacentral:rRNA from 1 species